UGGGGUGACACAACCCACCACAAUGGGAGCCU
rnacentral:piRNA from 1 species